GUGUGCGUGUGUGUGUGUGAGCGGCUUUCCUAGGUUCCUUUAGAGCCAUUGUGCUUAACUGAAUUUUAUAACGCUGAUCGAUAUCUUGGUAAAAUAUUCAUUUUUAAACUAGCGGGCAGUGAAAUCUUUGCUUUGUGCUAAAGUCAACAGUGGCGCCAAUAAAGGCAGCGAGGCUUUUCCCGUGGAGUUGCAGACGGCGGGCGGCGGGCCGGGCAUCGCCGGUGCGCUCUGCGGCUCCUGGGCACCAGAAAUAUUCCUAAUCCUGCCGUUCAAGCGGGGAAUUCUCUCCCCACACGCAGAAUUAAUCUGGAAACUUCGUGGAACCAAGUGUGAUAAGAGGGACGGGGUGGGGGAAAGCCACCGCCGAUUUAACCCCCACCCCGCAGCAAUGCCUUGCCGCCCACUCAGUAAAUAUUAAACAGGGAGAAGCGUCGUUUGGUGAUUUAUCGUCCACCGAUAAGCGUGCCAAGUUCUUUGCAAAUAAUUCUUUACCGAUGUCAAGAAAAGUGGCCCCGAUGCUUCCCAUUUUGUCAAGUGUGUGUGGUGUUCGGGUGGAUGGCCUCCACUGUUUUCGUGUUUGGGGCGACUCAGUUCACCGAAGGUUGCUUUCAGCCGAAAAGAUCUGCUGCUACGAAGUGCAGGAACUUCUCUGGUGAGAUUGCCCGGCCUCCUCUCGAGAAAUUAAAGGGAAGCGGAAAUUUGACCAGCCCGAAAAAGUAAUCAGAUGCGGACGGAACUAAGAUCGACCACUUUAUUGCCCUCUGGCCAGUCUCUGGGCCCCAGAGAUGGAUGCGGCAAGCUGCGCUUCGCCUCCAGUGCAGCGGCGUCCCGGGAAAUUGACAUUCUUGUCGCUCGCCUUUGUCUGAUUUCAAAGCAAACAGAGGGAAUUCGGAUCCCGCCGGCGCUUCGGGACUCCGACACUUCCCGAUCGUGUCUAGGCUUUGUUUCGAACCGCGGGGCGUUAAUCCUGUAAACGCGGUUUAAUUAGCGGGAAGCUAAUUGCCACCCGCACUCGUUCAUCUUGUUAGCAAUUGGCCUGACAUUCCCGAACCGUUCUCUGUCCUACUCCCCAUUGAGAGAGGUAAAAAACUAGGCAUGGGCUUGUAUUUCGCUCAUAUUUGCACAUGUACCGUUGAACCAAGACUGAAACAUGUAAAACCAACUUAUUAGUCAGCAUCCUGUAGUGUCAGGCUAGGAUCUGGGAGACCCAGGUUCGAAUCCUCCUCUGCCAUGGAAGAUUGCCGGGCAGCUUUGCUAGUUACACAUUCUCAGCCGAACUUACUUCACAGGGCUGUUUGUGAGGAUAAAACGAAGGAAAGGAGAAAGAUGUAAACCUUUGAAAGCGGGGAAUAAAUGAAAUAAAUAAACUUGUG